rnacentral:rRNA from 1 species
AGCAGCCGCGGUAAUUCCAGCUCCAAUAGCGUAUAUUAAAGUUGUUGCAGUUAAAAAGCUCGUAGUUGAAUUUCGGGGUCAAUAAGUUGGUCAUGCCAAUGGUAUGCACUGGCUUUAUUGAUUCCUACCUCUUGACGAACUGUGAUGCCAUUAAUUUGGUGUUGCAAGGAAUCAGGACUGUUACCUUGAAAAAUUAGAGUGUUUAAAGCAAGCUUACGCUUGAAUACAUUAGCAUGGAAUAAUGAAAUAGGACGUUUGAUCCUAUUUUGUUGGUUUCUAGGAUCGACGUAAUGAUUAAUAGGGAUAGUUGGGGGCAUUAGUAUUCAAUUGUCAGAGGUGAAAUUCUUGGAUUUAUUGAAGACUAACUACUGCGAAAGCAUUUGCCAAGGAUGUUUUCAUUAAUCAAGAACGAAAGUUAGGGGAUCGAAGACGAUCAGAUACCGUCGUAGUCUUAACCAUAAACUAUG